UCCCUGGAGGACUAGUGGUUAGGCCACGGCGCUCUCACCGCCGGGGCCAGGUUCGAAUCCCGGCCAGGUAU